rnacentral:rRNA from 1 species
UACGGAAGGCAGCAGUGGGGAAUAUUGCACAAUGGGCGAAAGCCUGAUGCAGCUAUGCCGCGUGUAUGAAGAAGGCCUUAGGGUUGUAAAGUACUUUCAUCGGGGAGGAAAAACAAAACUAAUAAUUUUAUUUCUUGACGUUACCCGAAAAAGAAGCACCGGCUAACUCCGUGCCAGCAGCCGCGGUAAUACGAAGGGUGCUAGCGUUAAUCAGAAUUACUGGGCGUAAAGAGCACGUAGGUGGUUUUUUUAAGUCAGAUGUGAAAUCCCUGGGCUUAACCUGGAACUGCAUUUUGAAACUGAAAUACUAGAGUAUCGUAGAGGGAGGUAGAAUUCUAGGUGUAGCGGUGAAAUGCGUAGAUAUCUGGAGGAAUACCUGUGGCGAAAGCGGCCUCCUAAACGAAUACUGACACUGAGGUGCGAAAGCGUGGGGAGCAAACAGGGAUUAGAUACC